AUGUCUUCUUGGGAAUUGGUUUCAUUUUCUUUGGGCCCACAUACGGUGUCUAAUACCUUUCUUUGUCUCUUUUCUCUCUGCAGAUUGCUUCAGGAAAGCACAUUUAAGCAAGAGCUUAGGGGCAAAAAAGGGAUAAAACCUUGUCUCCUUUUGGAAAGGAUGCUUGUCUCGGUUCAAAAUGCCUUAGGAUGUUUGGAAAUUCAGCUGUGUUUCCUGCGAAGAACAAGAGAUGAGUUGAGCCCAGAACAGUAAUUCACAAACAGCAGGACAAGAUGUACUUUAUUUCCCUUUCUCUUCAUAUCACUCAGUCUUCUUUGGUGAUCA
rnacentral:lncRNA from 1 species